rnacentral:lncRNA from 10 species
UGCCUUGCAAGUUGGGAAAAUUUCAACACUGGAAGGAAGUUGCAUGCUGGUUAGUCAAAGCAAAAGCUAAAUGCCACAGCCAGAAGGGAUGUUAUCAGCUCAAACCACAAGGGACCUUUUCAGCUCAUUGAUAACUGUCAGGGUAAUAGUCUGUUGCUACACAGCAGGCCUACAAACCUGGCAGUCCUAGAGCAAAAGUUCCCUCAUGCACUUUUCCAGUUAACCCCCUCCAGUAAGAGAAUAUGCACACGCCAUGCAUCACCCAAACUACUCCAACUCCUCAGAGAAUCAUGCCAUCUCCCUGAGCUGGAAGCAGCUGUCCACAAUGGGGACACAAGUUAUGCAACUAUCCUGUGAUUUGAAGUGAGGACCAAUUUAUGAGGGUGUUUUUCAUGAAGUGUUUUGUUUUGCUGUGGGGAAACCCAAAGAGGCCAUCUCUCUGCAGAGUUCUCUCUUCUAAAUAUUGCAGUCAGACUUUGAAAACUGCCAGCAUGUGGGACGCAAACUAAAAAACUGCCUUUCC